rnacentral:rRNA from 1 species
GACGAACGCUGGCGGCGUGCUUAACACAUGCAAGUCGAACGGAAAGGCCCUGCUUGCAGGGUACUCGAGUGGCGAACGGGUGAGUAACACGUGGGUGAUCUGCCCUGCACUUCGGGAUAAGCCUGGGAAACUGGGUCUAAUACCGGAUAGGAGCCAUUUUUAGUGUGAUGGUUGGAAAGUUUUUUCGGUGUAGGAUGAGCUCGCGGCCUAUCAGCUUGUUGGUGGGGUAAUGGCCUACCAAGGCGGCGACGGGUAGCCGGCCUGAGAGGGUGGACGGCCACAUUGGGACUGAGAUACGGCCCAGACUCCUACGGGAGGCAGCAGUGGGGAAUAUUGCACAAUGGGCGCAAGCCUGAUGCAGCGACGCCGCGUGGGGGAUGACGGCCUUCGGGUUGUAAACUCCCUUCGCUAGGGACGAAGCUUUUUGUGACGGUACCUAGAUAAGAAGCACCGGCUAACUACGUG